GCACCAGUGGUGGAACGGUAGACACGCAGGCUUGAGGGGCUUGUGCUUCGCGGCGUGGAGGUUCAAAUCCUCUCUGGUGCACCA
rnacentral:tRNA from 1 species